rnacentral:rRNA from 1 species
AGUAACGCGUGGGCAACCUGCCUCAUACAGGGGGAUAGCAUCGGGAAACUGGUGGUAAAACCGCAUAAGCGCACGAAGACGCAUGUAUUCGUGUGAAAAGGAGAAAUCUGGUAUGAGAUGGACCCGCGUCUGAUUAGCUAGUUGGAGUGGUAAAAGCACACCAAGGCGACGAUCAGUAGCCGGCCUGAGAGGGUGGACGGCCACAUUGGGACUGAGACACGGCCCAGACUCCUACGGGAGGCAGCAG